AUGAGUGUGACGGCUGAGAACGUGGACUGUUACGACAGCGGCGUCAUCUGCAGGAAAUCUCUACUCAUCAACAUUGGUAGAUCUUUCAUUGCGUUGGACGACGACAGUGGCAAACCAAACCCGUCCAGUGUGAUCGACUGGAGGCAGGAGGUGUUCAUAUGGACGCUGGGCUCUUCACUGGUCCACGUCCCGAGGAGGACCUGACCGUGCUCUGGGAUCGCAAGACCACGGUCCACAUCCAGGCUGGACCACGCUGGCAGAUUGCUGGAACCAUUGUAAGUUACAUGGACGGAUGUUGCAAGACAUGUGAGUAAAGAGAAAGACAACCUGUCCAGCUAUAGUUU